UAAUACGGAGGGUGCGAACGUUAAUCGGAAUCACUGGGCGUAAAGCGCGCGUAGGCGGUUUGUUAAGUGGGAUGUGAAAUCCCCGGGCUUAACCUGGGAAUUGCGUUCCAAACUGGCCGACUAGAGUACGGUAGAGGGAGGUAAAAUUUCCUGUGUAGCGGUGAAAUGCGUAGAUAUAGGAAGGAAUACCAGUGGCGAAGGCGGCCUCCUGGAUCGAUACUGACGCUGAGGCGCGAAAGCGUGGGGAGCAAACA
rnacentral:rRNA from 1 species